rnacentral:rRNA from 1 species
GCCCUAGAUAUUAUCUAAGGUGUGACCUGCCCAAUGAUUUUUAAGCUAAAAAUGAGAAAAACAUUUUAAUAAAAUUUAAAGGACGCAGUAACCUUGACUGUGAUAAUGUAGCAUAAUCACUCGCCAUUUAAUUGAUGGAUAGUAUGAAUGGUUAAACGAAUAUCUCACUGUCUUAAAGAAAAAAACCAAAAAACUAAAAUAAUAGUUAAGAUGCUAUUUAAAAUUAUAAGACGAAAAGACCCUAUAGAGCUUAACUAUUUUUUCUUUGUCACUAAAAAAGAAUUUCUUUUAAAAAUAAAGAAAAAGGUAGUUUAGUUGGGGCGACUAUCUUCUAGAAAUAACGAAGAUAAGCAAAGUUAAUAAAAAAAACUUAUUGUAUAAAUUAUAUUUUUAACAAUUACUAUUGUAGGCUAUAAUGACCCGUUAAUAUCAUAUAAAAAGAAUUAACGAUCAAUAAAUAAAAGCUACCUUAGGGAUAACAGGAUUAUUUCAUUUUAGAGAUCUAAUCGAAAAUGAAGUUUGUCACCUCUAUGUUGAAUUAAGAUAUCCUAAUAAUGCAGAAGUUAUUGAAGGUAGGUCUGUUCGACCUUUAAAAUCUU